CUUAUACUCCCUCCGUCCUAAAAUUCUUGUCUUAGAUUUUGUUUAGAUAUGAAUGUAUCUAAUCACGGUUUAGUAUUUAGGUGCACUCAUUUUUAGAAAAAACUAAGACAGAAAUUUUGGGACGGGGGACUAUUUC
rfam:Hordeum vulgare subsp. vulgare, WGS project CAJW01000000 data, contig: morex_contig_244857